CCAGGAAGGAUAAGUCCACCUCGAUCUUCUUUUGACGAUUCAAAGUACAUGAAUGACAGUUUAAUUGAUGAAAUUACAAGUUUGAGGGCACAGGUAGAUGAGCUUACUUACAAAUCCCGUCACCUUGACGCUGAACUUGAAAGAAAAUCAAGGCAACUUAAGGAGGUUGCUGCAAUAGCAGCAGAUGAAGCUGAAAAACGCAAAUCUGCGAAAGAAGUUAUCAAGACUCUUACUGCUCAGUUGAAGCAGAUGGCAGAAAAACUGCCAGAAAAACAGAAUUCCAG
rnacentral:misc_RNA from 1 species